rnacentral:rRNA from 1 species
AAAUUGAAGAGUUUGAUCAUGGCUCAGAUUGAACGCUGGCGGCAGGCCUAACACAUGCAAGUCGAGCGGUAGCACAGAGAGCUUGCUCUCGGGUGACGAGCGGCGGACGGGUGAGUAAUGUCUGGGAAACUGCCUGAUGGAGGGGGAUAACUACUGGAAACGGUAGCUAAUACCGCAUAACGUCGCAAGACCAAAGUGGGGGACCUUCGGGCCUCAUGCCAUCAGAUGUGCCCAGAUGGGAUUAGCUAGUAGGUGGGGUAAUGGCUCACCUAGGCGACGAUCCCUAGCUGGUCUGAGAGGAUGACCAGCCACACUGGAACUGAGACACGGUCCAGACUCCUACGGGAGGCAGCAGUGGGGAAUAUUGCACAAUGGGCGCAAGCCUGAUGCAGCCAUGCCGCGUGUGUGAAGAAGGCCUUCGGGUUGUAAAGCACUUUCAGCGGGGAGGAAGGCGUUAAGGUUAAUAACCUUGGCGAUUGACGUUACCCGCAGAAGAAGCACCGGCUAACUCCGUGCCAGCAGCCGCGGUAAUACGGAGGGUGCAAGCGUUAAUCGGAAUUACUGGGCGUAAAGCGCACGCAGGCGGUCUGUCAAGUCGGAUGUGAAAUCCCCGGGCUCAACCUGGGAACUGCAUUCGAAACUGGCAGGCUAGAGUCUUGUAGAGGGGGGUAGAAUUCCAGGUGUAGCGGUGAAAUGCGUAGAGAUCUGGAGGAAUACCGGUGGCGAAGGCGGCCCCCUGGACAAAGACUGACGCUCAGGUGCGAAAGCGUGGGGAGCAAACAGGAUUAGAUACCCUGGUAGUCCACGCCGUAAACGAUGUCGAUUUGGAGGUUGUGCCCUUGAGGCGUGGCUUCCGGAGCUAACGCGUUAAAUCGACCGCCUGGGGAGUACGGCCGCAAGGUUAAAACUCAAAUGAAUUGACGGGGGCCCGCACAAGCGGUGGAGCAUGUGGUUUAAUUCGAUGCAACGCGAAGAACCUUACCUGGUCUUGACAUCCACAGAACUUNNNGGCCGGGAACUCAAAGGAGACUGCCAGUGAUAAACUGGAGGAAGGUGGGGAUGACGUCAAGUCAUCAUGGCCCUUACGACCAGGGCUACACACGUGCUACAAUGGCAUAUACAAAGAGAAGCGACCUCGCGAGAGCAAGCGGACCUCAUAAAGUAUGUCGUAGUCCGGAUUGGAGUCUGCAACUCGACUCCAUGAAGUCGGAAUCGCUAGUAAUCGUAGAUCAGAAUGCUACGGUGAAUACGUUCCCGGGCCUUGUACACACCGCCCGUCACACCAUGGGAGUGGGUUGCAAAAGAAGUAGGUAGCUUAACCUUCGGGAGGGCGCUUACCACUUUGUGAUUCAUGACUGGGGUGAAGUCGUAACAAGGUAACCGUAGGGGAACCUGCGGUUGGAUCACCUCCUUA